rnacentral:rRNA from 1 species
GCCUUAAAUCUAGCCCACACAACCCGCAUGAUACUCCUCGACAUCUGUAAAAAAUAAAACAUUUUAACAUUUUAGUAUAGGCGAUAGAAAAAUUAUUAGGCGCUUUAGACAGAGUACCGCAAGGGAAACAUGAAAUAGAAAUGAAACAAUUCUUACAGCCACAAACAGCAGAGACACCCCCUCGUACCUUUUGCAUCAUGGUCUAGCUAGUCCCCCCGAGCAAAAUGAAAAUUUUAGUUCGACACCCCGAAACUAGACGAGCUACUUCAAAACAGCCCACAGGGGCCAACCCCUCUCUGUUGCAAAAGAGUGGGAAGAUUUUUAAGUAGAGGUGAUAAGCCUACCGAGCCUAGAGAUAGCUGGUUGCUCAGGAAAAGAGUUUUAGCUCUGCCUUAAGUUUUUUUAUUUUAUCAAACAAGCCUUUAAACUUAAGAGUUAUUCAAAUUAGGCACAGCUUAUUUGAAACAGGAUACAACCUCCACUACCGGGUAAACAAGGGUGAUCAAAACUAAGUGGGCCUAAAAGCAGCCACCUUCCGAAAAGCGUCAAAGCUUAUCUAUUCUAACCCGCAAUUUCUAAAAUACUCCCUAACCCUUCAUUCCUACUGACCCCCUUUAUACUAUUAUAAAAAUAAUUAUGCUAGAACUAGUAACAAGAAGUCACCCUUCUCCAUAAUGUAAGUAUAAGCCAAAACGGACCCUCCAUUGGUGAUUAACGUAAAUGCAAGCCCCAUAAUAACACAUACCCAGAAAACCUUAUGGCCCCCCACGUUACCCUAACACUAGAACAUUACAGGAAAGAUUAAAAGAGAAAGAAGGAACUCGGCAAAUUUUAACCCCGCCUGUUUACCAAAAACAUCGCCUCUUG